rnacentral:rRNA from 1 species
UACAGAGGGUGCAAGCGUUGUUCGGAAUUAUUGGGCGUAAAGCGCGUGUAGGCGGCUUUGCAAGUCGGGUGUGAAAGCCCUCAGCUCAACUGAGGAAGUGCGCCCGAAACUGCAGAGCUUGAGUGCCGGAGAGGGUGGCGGAAUUCCCCCAAGUAGAGGUGGAAUUCGUAGAUAUGGGGGAGGAACACCAGGUGGCGAAGGCGGCUCCUGGCCGUA